rnacentral:rRNA from 1 species
GACGAAGGAUGCAAGCGUUAUCCGGAUUCAUUGGGUUUAAAGGGAGCGUAGGUGGCCAAAUAAGUCAGUGGUGAAAUCUCUCAGCUUAACUGAGAAAUUGCCAUUGAUACUGUAUGGCUUGAGUAUAGUUGCCGUUGGCGGAAUAUGACAUGUAGUGGUGAAAUACAUAGAGAUGUCAUAGAACACCGAUUGCGAAGGCAGCUGACGAAACUAUAACUGACACUGAGGCUCGAAAGUGCGGGGAUCAAACAGG